GGCCCGGUGGCGAAGUGGUAACGCGACGGUCUGCAAAACCGUUAUGCGCGGGUUCAAUUCCCGCCCGGGCCUCCA
rnacentral:tRNA from 1 species